rnacentral:piRNA from 1 species
UGGUACGAAAGCAGAUCCCAUGAGCGACUA